rnacentral:rRNA from 1 species
GGGUCCGGACACACUGAGGAUUGACAGAUAUACGUCGUGCGUUGAGCUCUCUCGGGGGCCGAGCGCAUGACUGAAAGAUGCUAGUUCUUUCAUGAUUAUGUGAUAGGUGGUGCAUGGCCGUUCUUAGUUCGUGGAGUGAUCUGUCUGCUUAAUUGCGUAUCAUAAAAAAAGAGACCUAGUAUACGCGUAAGAUAUCGUUUACGGUUCGUGACCCCCUUCGGGCGUGUGUCGCACGUACGUAUCAUACGCACUGGUCUCCGAUAGCAACGAACGUGACCGUACUCUAUUGUUGCAGCGAAUGUAUGCAUCUUCGGGUGUAUCUACCGCUGCUUAGCAUAUUUCAUGCCUCGUGCGUGUGUAUGCAUUAAACUAUAGAGACCGCUGUAUUUUUUUUAAACCAGAGGAAGGAUACGGCAAUAACAGGUCUGUGAUGCCCUCAGAUGUUCCGGACUGCACACGUGCUACAAUGAUCAUUGCACUGUGCAUCUAACCCAAUGUGCGUGGACGCCACGGUAUGUAUUUAUGCUUCGGCGUAGUAUAUAUCAGUUGGUCGGUCGCGCCGAACCUACUUCGAAAGUAAAAUUUCUCAGUGGGU